rnacentral:lncRNA from 1 species
GAAAUUCUAUCAGUAUAGAGAAAACAUGGCAGCAUUUCAGGUGAGCAUUUGCUUUCAGCUUCGGAAGGUAUGGGGUUUGAUAAUUGCCGGAUUGAGAUAAAGAACUCGGACCCCAGAGAUUGCGAUCUUGAGGUUGGUAUCAUAUAUUUUUGAAUCUUCGAUUUGUCUUGAGGAUUUGCUUUUGAUUUCACUAGGGGACAUAUCAGGGGGGAAAUUACAAAUGAACACUUGCCUUCAAUAUUUCUACUCAUCAAAAUUGGCCAAUCAAACAAGACAUCAUACAAACAGAUGGUAAAAGAUUUCAUAUUUUCUACAUGGUUUUGCAUGUAUAGCUGAUGUCUUGUAUGAUUCUUACUUGUACUGAUUACUUGAUGGAUAAAUGAUGCCUUUCAUUACUUAUAAUUAGUACCAAAUUCUUCUUGGAAGCACACUUUGGUAUGAUAAAUAUAUGAUCUCUCUCUCUCUCUCUCUCUCUCUCUCUCUCUCUCUCUCUCUCUCUCAGGUGUAAACAUUUGAUUUAUAAAAUUUCCUUCAUUUGUUAUUUGUUUUCUACUGGUCAAGCCUUGUAGGCCUUCCGGGAUCACGCUAGACAUCAAGAAAUCAUCGUACAAAAAAUUAUCAAAGUGGUUACAAGCUAAAUCUUCUAUGGGAUUGUUGCGUAC